rnacentral:rRNA from 1 species
AACGAACGCUGGCGGCACGCCUAACACAUGCAAGUCGAACGGAAUUAUUAUUUUCGGAUAAUAAUUUAGUGGCGGACGGGUGAGUAACGCGUGGGAACCUGCCUUGCAGUAAGGAAUAACUUCGGGAAACCGAAGCUAAUACCGUAUACGCCCAUAUGGGGAAAGAUUUAUCGCUGUAAGAUGGGCCCGCGUUAGAUUAGGUAGUUGGUAGGGUAUAGGCCUACCAAGCCGAUGAUCUAUAGCUGGUUUGAGAGGAUGACCAGCCACACUGGGACUGAGACACGGCCCAGACUCCUACGGGAGGCAGCAGUGGGGAAUAUUGGACAAUGGGGGCAAUCCUGAUCCAGCGAUGCCGCGUGAGUGAAGAAGGCCUUCGGGUUGUAAAACUCUUUCACCUGUGACGGUGAUGACGGUAGCAGGAGAAGAAGCACCGGCUAACUACGUGCCAGCAGCCGCAGUAA